rnacentral:rRNA from 1 species
UACGAAGGGGACUAGCGUUGUUCGGAAUCACUGGGCGUAAAGCGCACGUAGGCGGAUGUGUCAGUCAGGGGUGAAAUCCCGGGGCUCAACCUCGGAACUGCCUUUGAUACAGCACGUCUCGAGUCCGGAAGAGGUGGGUGGAAUUCCUAGUGUAGAGGUGUAAUGCGCAGAUAUCAGGAAGAACACCCGUGGCGAAGGCGGCUCUCUGGUACGUGACUGACGCUGAGACGCGAAAGCGUGGGGAGCAAACAGG